rnacentral:rRNA from 1 species
AUUGAACGCUGGCGGCAUGCCUUACACAUGCAAGUCGAACGGUAACGGGCCUUCGGGUGCCGACGAGUGGCGAACGGGUGAGUAAUGCAUCGGAACGUACCCAUCAGUGGGGGAUAACUCUCCGAAAGGAGGGCUAAUACCGCAUAUUCUGUGCGCAGGAAAGCGGGGGACCGCAAGGCCUCGCGCUGAUGGAGCGGCCGAUGUCAGAUUAGCUAGUUGGUGGGGUAAAGGCCUACCAAGGCGACGAUCUGUAGCGGGUCUGAGAGGAUGAUCCGCCACACUGAGACUGAGACCCGGCCCAGACUCCUACGGGAGGAAGCAGUGGGGAAUUUUGGACAAUGGGGGCAACCCUGAUCCAGCCAUGCCGCGUGAGUGAAUAAGGCCUUCGGGUUGUAAAGCUCUUUCGGCCGGGAAGAAAUCGCAUCUCCUAAUACGGGGUGUGGAUGACGGUACCGGAAUAGGAAGCACCGGCUAACUACGUGCCGGCCGCCGCCGUAA